rnacentral:tRNA from 2 species
GGGCCGUUAGCUCAGUUGGUAGAGCACCGGACUUUUAAUCCGAUGGUCGCAGGUUCGAUCCCCGCACGGCCCACCA